UAGCCUAGUGGUUAAGGCUAUGGAUCGCCAUUCCAGAGACGGCGGGUUCGAUUCCUGU
rfam:Aedes albopictus isolate Foshan contig17027, whole genome shotgun sequence.